rnacentral:rRNA from 1 species
GAUGAACGCUGGCGGCGUGCCUAAUACAUGCAAGUCGAGCGAACGGACGAGAAGCUUGCUUCUCUGAUGUUAGCGGCGGACGGGUGAGUAACACGUGGAUAACCUACCUAUAAGACUGGGAUAACUUCGGGAAACCGGAGCUAAUACCGGAUAAUAUUUUGAACCGCAUGGUUCAAAAGUGAAAGACGGUCUUGCUGUCACUUAUAGAUGGAUCCGCGCUGCAUUAGCUAGUUGGUAAGGUAACGGCUUACCAAGGCAACGAUGCAUAGCCGACCUGAGAGGGGGAUCGGCCAACCUGGAACUGAGACACGGCCCAGACCCCUAGGGGGGGCAGCGGGGGGGAAGUUUCCGCAAUGGGCGAAACCCUGACGGAGCAACGCCGCGGGGGGGAUGAAGGUCUUCGGAUCGUAAAACCUUGUUAUUAGGGAAAAACAUUUGUGUAAGUAACUGUGCACAUCUUGACGGUCCCUAUUAAAAAAGCCCCGGCUAACUCCGU